AUACUUACCUGGCAAGGGAGACACCGUGAUCAAGAAGGCGGUUCACCCAGGGCGAGGCUCAGUAAUUGCACUCCGGCUGUGCUGACCCCUGUGAAUUUCCCAAAUGUGGAAAUCUCGAUUGCAUAAUUUCUGGUAGUGGGGGACUGCGUUCGCGCUCUCCCCUG
rnacentral:snRNA from 1 species